rnacentral:rRNA from 1 species
GACGAACGCUGGCGGCGUGCCUAAUACAUGCAAGUCGAGCGAAGCGGCGGAUGGGUGAGUAACGCGUGGGUAACCUGCCCUUAAGUCUGGGAUACCAUUUGGAAACAGAUGCUCAUACCGGAUACUAAAGGACGGACCUGCGAUGCAUUAGCUAGUUGGUAAGGUAACGGCUUACCAAGGCGAUGAUGCAUAGGCGGGUUGAGGGGCUGGUCGGCCAACUGGGGACUGAGACACGGCCCAAAAUCCUACGGGAGGCAGCAGGAGGGAAUCUUCCACAAUGGACGAAAGUCUGAUGGGACAACGCCGCGUGAGUGAAGAAGGUUUUCGGAUCGGAAAGCUCUGUUGUUGGUGAAGCGGUAAUCAACCAGAAAGUCACGGCUAACUACGUGCCAGCAGCCGCGGUAAUUC